UACGUAGGGGGCUAGCGUUGUCCGGAUUUAUUGGGCGUAAAGCGCGCGUAGGCGGCCCUGUAAGUCCGUUGUGAAAGUCAAAGGCUCAACCUUUGAAAGCCGAUGGAUACUGCAGGGCUAGAGUCCGGAAGAGGCGAGUGGAAUUCCUGGUGUAGCGGUGGAAUGCGCAGAUAUCAGGAGGAACACCAAUAGCGAAGGCAGCUCGCUGGGACGGUACUGACGCUAAGGCGCGAAAGCGUGGGGAGCGAACAGG
rnacentral:rRNA from 1 species